rnacentral:rRNA from 1 species
GACGAACGCUUGCGGCGUGCUUAACACAUGCACGUAGAACGGCAAGGCACUGCUUGCAGGGUACUCGAGUGGCGAACGGGUGUGUCACACGUGGGUGAUCUGCCGUGCACUCCGGCAUAAGCCUGGGCAACUGGGUCUAAUCCUGGAUAGGAGCCAUUUUUAGUGUGAUGGUUGGAAAGUUUUUUCGUUGUAGGAUGAGCUCGCGGCCUAUCAGCUUGUUGGUGGGGUAAUGUCCUACUAAGGCGGCGACGGGUAGCUGGCCUGAGAGGGUGGACGGUCACAUUGGGACUGAGAUACGGCCCAGACACCUACGGGAGGCAGAGGUGGAGAAUAUAGCACAAUGGGCGCAAGCCUGAUGCAACGACGCCGCGUGGAGGAUGACGGCCUUCGGGUUGUAAGCUCCUUUCGCUAGGGACGAAGCUUUUUGUGACGGUACCUAGAGAAGAAGCACCGGCUAGCUCCGUG